GUUUUAUCACAUGGGACUGAUGGAACUACCAGCGGCCCCGCACGGGGAGCAGUUCGAUGGGUCAACACACCUACGGAUGUUGUUCCAGUCUGUAGCUCUGUGGCUUCGGUUUAAGGGUAGCCGAAAGGUGAAGGUGACCGAAGCACGACAAGCCCAUUGAACACUCGCGAGGAGCAUCUCACUCCGCAAGGA
rnacentral:sRNA from 1 species